AGAGAGAGAGAGAGAAGGCAACAGCAGGAGGUUGAGAGAGAAGAAGCAGUAGCAGGGGGCGUUGAGAGGAGGGAGAAGGAGCAGCGGGGCAAAGGAAGAUGGAGUAGCAGCAACGACUUGGAGUUUGGAGAUGGAGAAGGAGCAGAACAACAGCGUGGUAGGGGAAAGUAGAAGAGCAGCAGCAAUAGGGAUUCAGAGAGGAGGCGAGCUUGGAGAAGGAUAGCAGCAGGGAGAGUUGUAGAUGAGCAGCAGCAGUAGCGCGGGGGAGAAGGAGCAGCAGACAGGGAUUCAGAGAAGCGAGGAAGAAGGGAAGAAGAAGCAGCGGCGGUGUGUCUGGCCGGGCACGCCAGCUGGAGGGAGAGGUCGCGCGAGGUGGGCACUGGUGGUUGGCGCUGUGAUGGAUGGAUGAUGGUGUGGGUGGUGGAUGGCGCGGGUGAUGGUGGAGCAACGAGGUCGCCGAAGCGCGUCGCCACGAUGGCCUGGCCGCGGCGGCGGCCGGAGGUGGGAGAAGAAGUGGUGAGGGGGAGAGAGAUGGAGAUGCCAGCUCCCUUUGGGAAUGGAGGCUGCUAGGGAUUUUGAUCCCCUCCGAUCAGAUCUGAAUGUUUUCACUUUGGCCCUCCUUCUUCCUUCUUUUGGCACAAGAUGAUCCCUCCACUUCUUAAGCUAGCCCCCCUAAGCUUUAAUCUUCUUCAAGCUUGAGUCCCUCUUUCUUCUCUUCUUGCCCGUGAUCUUGUUCCUCAAUUCUUUCUAGACAGGAACUUGUAGAUUAUAGUGCCUUGUCGCACUUUUCUGCAAAAGAAACACAAUGACUAGUAAAUGAUUCAUUAUAUGAUUUCCAUGCAAAUAUUCAAUAUUUCACAGCAAGAAUUGAUGGUCAUAUCUCAAUAAACCGCAUAUUUGAGUGCCAAAAGAUGUAUAUGAAAUGUGC
rnacentral:rRNA from 1 species